CAGCGCCACAAGUGGCAAUCACGUUUAUUGGGCCUAAAGCGUCCGUAGCCGGUUUAGCAAAUCUUUUGUGAGAUCGUCAGGCUUAACUUGACGAAUUGCAGAAGACACUACUAAACUAGGGACUGGGAGGAGUCAGAAGUAUUCUGGGGGGACCGGUAAAAUGGUAUAAUCCCCAGAGGACUACCGAUGGCGAAGGCAUCUGACCAGAACAGAUCCGACGGUGAGGGACGAAAGCCAGGGGAGCAAACCGGAUUAGAUACCCGAGUAGUCC
rnacentral:rRNA from 1 species